CGGAGGGUGCUAAGCGUUAUCCGGAGUUUACUGGGUUUAAAGGGUGCGUAGGUGGGCAGUUAAGUCAGUGGUGAAAUCUCCGAGCUUAACUCGGAAACUGCCAUUGAUACUAUCUGUCUUGAAUAUCCUGGAGGUGAGCGGAAUAUGUCAUGUAGCGGUGAAAUGCUUAGAUAUGACAUAGAACACCAAUUGCGAAGGCAGCUCACUACGGGAUUAUUGACACUGAGGCACGAAAGCGUGGGGAUCAAACAGGAUUAGAUACCCUGGUAGUCCACGCCCUAAACGAUGGAUACUCGACAUACGCGAUAUACUGUGUGUGUCUGAGCGAAAGCAUUAAGUAUCCCACCUGGGAAGUACGAUCGCAAGAUUG
rnacentral:rRNA from 1 species